rnacentral:rRNA from 1 species
UACGUAGGUGGCAAGCGUUGUCCGGAUUUAUUGGGUUUAAAGGGCUCGUAGGCGGCCAACUAAGUCGGAUGUGAAAUCCCCAGGCUUAACCUGGGAACUGCAUCCGAUACUGGAUGGCUUGAAUUCGGGAGAGGGAUGCAGAAUUCCAGGUGUAGCGGUGAAAUGCGUAGAUAUCUGGAGGAAUACCGGUGGCGAAGGCGGCAUCCUGGACCGAGAUUGACGCUGAUGAGCGAAAGCUAGGGGAGCAAACGGG